rnacentral:hammerhead_ribozyme from 1 species
GCACCGCUGAUGCGUCCCAAACCGGACGAAACAGCUGUCCAGUGC